CGGGCACCUAUCUUCGGAUAGAAGCGAGUGGCGAACGGCUGAGUAACACGUGGAGAACCUGCCCCCUCCCCCGGGAUAGCCGCCCGAAAGGACGGGUAAUACCGGAUACCCCGGGGUGCCGCAUGGCACCCCGGCUAAAGCCCCGACGGGAGGGGAUGGCUCCGCGGCCCAUCAGGUAGACGGCGGGGUGACGGCCCACCGUGCCGACAACGGGUAGCCGGGUUGAGAGACCGACCGGCCAGAUUGGGACUGAGACACGGCCCAG
rnacentral:rRNA from 1 species